rnacentral:rRNA from 1 species
CCAGAGAUGGAUUUCUUCAGUUCGGCUGGAUACCACACAGGUGCUGCAUGGCUGUCGUCAGCUCGUGUCGUGAGAUGUUCGGUUAAGUCCGGCAACGAGCGCAACCCACGUCUUUAGUUGCCAGCAUUCAGUUGGGCACUCUAAAGAAACUGCCGAUGAUAAGUCGGAGGAAGGUGUGGAUGACGUCAAGUCCUCAUGGCCCUUACGGGUUGGGCUACACACGUGCUACAAUGGCAGUGACAAUGGGUUAAUCCCUAAAAGCUGUCUCAGUUCGGAUUGGGGUCUGCAACUCGACCCCAUGAAGUCGGAAUCGCUAGUAAUCGCGUAACAGCAUGACGCGGUGAAUACGUUCCCGGGCCUU